rnacentral:rRNA from 1 species
AGAUUAAGUUAUUAAGGGCGCACGGUGGAUGCCUUGGCACUAGAAGCCGAUGAAGGACGUUACUAACGACGAUAUGCUUUGGGUAGCUGUAAGUAAGCGUUGAUCCAGAGAUUUCCGAAUGGGGGAACCCAGCAUGAGUUAUGUCAUGUUAUCGACAUGUGAAUUUAUAGCAUGUCAGAAGGCAGACCCGGAGAACUGAAACAUCUUAGUACCCGGAGGAAGAGAAAGAAAAAAUCGAUUCCCUGAGUAGCGGCGAGCGAAACGGGAAGAGCCCAAACCAACAAGCUUGCUUGUUGGGGUUGUAGGACACUCUAUACGGAGUUACAAAAGAACAUGUUAGACGAAUCAUCUGGAAAGAUGAAUCAAAGAAGGUAAUAAUCCUGUAGUCGAAAACAUAUUCUCUCUUGAGUGGAUCCUGAGUACGACGGAGCACGUGAAAUUCCGUCGGAAUCUGGGAGGACCAUCUCCUAAGGCUAAAUACUC